UGGGAAGGAGGUAGCCUGAUGCAGCCAUGCCGCGUGAGUGAGAAGGCCUUCUGGUUGUAAAGCUCUUUUGCGGGAAGAAGCUACUUGGAUUAAUACCCUUUGGUAGUGACCGUACCUGACAAAAUAGGCUCCGUCAAUUUCUGCCCCCGCGGCCCCGGAAAUUACCAGGGCGCUAGCCUUAUUUGAAUUUAUUGGGGGAAACGUGUGCUGACCCGGUUUUUUACUUCGAAUGUUAACCCCCCGACCUUAAAUUAGAAAUUGAUUUCGAAUGUGGGAAGUUCAAGUAAGGGGGAGGAAGUUCAAGAUGUAGGGGUGAACUGCUAAUGCGUAGAUAUCUGCUCGAACUGCGAUUGCAACUGCUCCCCGCAGGCUGAUACUGACGCUGAAAUAAAAACGCAUGGAGACCAAACGAUAAUAUAUCCAGUCCACACCCCACGCAAAAAAAAAUCUCUUGUUGCCGGUGGGGCCUUUUAGGCUUUACCACCUCUUAAGUAUUCAUCCGACCACCUGCGGAGGAGAACGGCCACAUUAAUAGAAUUCAGAGUUUGUUGGCGG
rnacentral:rRNA from 1 species